rnacentral:misc_RNA from 1 species
AAGGAGUCUAACACCUAUGCGAGUAGUAAGGUGGCAAACCUUUGAGGCGAAAUGAAAGUGAACGUAGGUGGGAACCCGCAAGGGUGCAUGAUCGACCGAUCAGGAUGUCUUCGGAUGGGUCUGAGUAAGAGCAUAGUUGUUGGGACCCGAAAGAUGGUGAACUAUGCCUGAAUAGGGUGAAGCCAGAGGAAACUCUGGUGGAGGCUCGCAGCGGUUCUGACGUGCAAAUCGUUCGUCAAAUUUGGGUAUAGGGGCGAAAGACUAAUCGAACCAUCUAGUAGCUGGUUCCUUC